GUAGGUGAACCUGCGGAGGGAUCAUCAUUGGAAAACAUAUUUCUUAUAUGUGAGAGUGAGUGUUUUGCUUAGAGGGGGAGGUUGUGUGUGGUGUGCAUUCGUACUCUGCAUAUAUCUUUUUCUCUGGCUUUCCUCCACUCUUGCAUAUAUCAAACAAACGAUCGCAACUAUAUGUGUGUGAGAUAUUGGACAAGAAGAGAAAAAGAUUGACUUGAUUCUUUCCUCUCUUUCUAUCCAAGAAACAAAAAGU
rnacentral:misc_RNA from 1 species